rnacentral:rRNA from 1 species
ACGAACGCUGGCGGCGUGCUUAACACAUGCAAGUCGAACGGGUCUGCCCUGUUUUUUGCGGGGUGGGUCAGUGGCGAACGGGUGAGUAACACGUGAGUAACCUGCCCCUCACUUCUGGAUAACCGCUUGAAAGGGUGGCUAAUACGGGGUGUUCUGGCUGUGCCGCAUGGUGUGGCUGGGAAAGAUUCACUUUUGUGGUGUUUUGGUGGGGGAUGGGCUCGCGGCCUAUCAGCUUGUUGGUGGGGUGAUGGCCUGCCAAGGCUUUGACGGGUAGCCGGCCUGAGAGGGUGGGCGGUCACACUGGGAAUGAGAUACGGCCCAGACUCCUGCGGGAGGCAGCAGUGGGGGGUAUUGCACAAUGGGCGGAAGCCUGAUGCAGCGACGUCGCGUGAGGGAUGGAGGCCUUCGGGUUGUGAACCUCUUUCGCCGGUGAAGAAGGUCCUGCUCUUUGUGGUGGGGUUGACGGUAGCCGGGUUAUGAAGCGCCGGCUAACUACGUG